AUUGAACGCUAGCGGCAGGCCUAACACAUGCAAGUCGAGCGAGCGGCGGACGGGUGAGUAAUGUAUGGGGACUGCCCGAUGGAGGGGGAUAACUACUGGAAACGGUUGCUAAUACCGCAUACCGUCGGAUGAACCAUAUGGGAUUAGCUAGUAGGUAAGGUAACGGCUUACCUAGGCGACGAUCCCUAGCUGGUCUGAGAGGAUGAUAAGCCACACUGGGACUGAGACACGGCCCAGACUCCGACGGAGGCAGCAGUGGGGAAUAUUGCACAAUGGGCGCAAGCCUGAUGCAGCCAUGCCGCGUGUAUGAAGAAGGCCUUAGGGUUGUAAAGUACUGUCAGUCGGGAGGCGUUACCUACAGAAGAAGCACCGGCUAACUACGUGCCAGCAGCCGCGGUAAUUC
rnacentral:rRNA from 1 species